rnacentral:tRNA from 1 species
GCAUCGGUGGUUCAGUGGUAGAAUGCUCGCCUGCCACGGGGCCGGACCGCGUUCGAUUUCCGGCCGUUGCA